AUUGAACGCUGGCGGCAGGCUUAACACAUGCAAGUCGAGCGGGGGAAGGUAGCUUGCUACCGGACCUAGCGGCGGACGGGUGAGUAAUGCUUAGGAAUCUGCCUAUUAGUGGGGGACAACAUCUCGAAAGGGAUGCUAAUACCGCAUACGUCCUACGGGAGCAAGCAGGGGAUCUUCGGACCUUGCGCUAAUAGAUGAGCCUAAGUCGGGUUAGCUAGUUGGUGGGGUAAAGGCCUACCAAGGCGACGAUCUGUAGCGGGUCUGAGAGGAUGAUCCGCCACACUGGGACUGAGACACGGCCCAGACUCCUACGGGAGGCAGCAGUGGGGAAUAUUGGACAAUGGGGGGAACCCUGAUCCAGCCAUGCCGCGUGUGUGAAGAAGGCCUUAUGGUUGUAAAGCACUUUAAGCGAGGAGGAGGCUACUUUAGUUAAUACCUAGAGAUAGUGGACGUUACUCGCAGAAUAAGCACCGGCUAACUCUGUGCCAGCCGCCGCAGUAA
rnacentral:rRNA from 1 species